rnacentral:misc_RNA from 1 species
GAUGAAGAACGUAGCGAAAUGCGAUAAGUAAUGCGAAUUGCAGAAUUCCGUGAGUCAUCGAAUCUUUGAACGCACAUUGCGCCCUCUAGUAUUCCGGAGGGCAUGCCUGUCUGAGCGUCAUUGUCAACCCUCAAGCUCAGCUUGCUGUUGGGUCCCCGUCGUUGCUUUAACGGCGGACCCGAAAGGUAAUGGCAGAGUCCGUGAGACCCUAGACGCAGCGAGCUUCUAGCACGCGUCUGGACGUUUUUCGGGCUCGGUCUUAACUAGAUGAUAACUUCCGAUUGACCUCAGAUCAGGUAGGGAUACCCGCUGAACUUAAGCAUAUCAAUAAGCGGAGGA